ACCCGGGAUAACAACAGAUGAUGCCUAUCAACUGUUUAAAAAAGAUGGUUCUGCUAUCACUCUUGGAUGGACCUGCGGUGCAUUAGCUAGUUGGUAGGGUAACGGCCUACCAAGGCGAUGAUGCAUAGCCGAGUUGAGAGACUGAUCGGCCACAUUGGGACUGAGACACGGCCCAAACUCCUACGGGAGGCAGCAGUAGGGAAUCUUCCACAAUGGACGCAAGUCUGAUGGAGCAACGCCGCGUGAGUGAAGAAGGGUUUCGGCUCGUAAAGCUCUGUUGUUGGUGAAGAAGGACAGGGGUAGUAACUGACCUUUGUUUGACGGUAAUCAAUUAGAAAGUCACGGCUAACUACGUGCCAGCAGCCGCGGUAAAU
rnacentral:rRNA from 1 species